CAAGCCCUGGAAACGGGGUCUAAUACCGGAUAUGAUCACCGGCCGCAUGGUCUGGUGGUGGAAAGCGUUUAGUGGUGCAGGAUGAGCCCGCGGCCUAUCAGCUUGUUGGUGGGGUGAUGGCCUACCAAGGCGACGACGGGUAGCCGGCCUGGGAGGGCGACCGGCCACACUGGGACUGAGACACGGCCCAGACUCCUACGGGAGGCAGCAGUGGGGAAUAUUGCACAAUGGGCGGAAGCCUGAUGCAGCGACGCCGCGUGAGGGAUGACGGCCUUCGGGUUGUAAACCUCUUUCAGCAGGGAAGAAGCUUUCGGGUGACGGUACCUGCAGAAGAAGCACCGGCUAACUACGUGCCGGCAGCCGCGGUAAUACGUAGGGUGCGAGCGUUGUCCGGAAUUAUUGGGCGUAAAGAGCUCGUAGGCGGCGUGUCACGUCGGAUGUGAAAGCUCGGGGCUUAACCCCGGGUCUGCAUUCGAUACGGGCAGGCUAGAGUUCGGUAGGGGAGAUCGGAAUUCCUGGU
rnacentral:rRNA from 1 species